UAUAUUCUUUCAUGCCACUGUCAUCUUGAUAUGUGCUUUGCACAUGUCUUCGACUGUAGUGCGUGUCUGUGUAUCAAGGUGCUCUGUGCCCUUGAAUGCAUCUAGUGCUUGGGCUUUGUGCUCCAUAAACAACUUGAUAAACACCUGUUGUGUGUCACUGUUGUUCUGUUUGGAGUAUUGAUAGCCUUGCCUCUGGCAUCCUUGCCUUGCAUGGAUUCUUUUUAUGACAUGAAGUUAGGUG
rnacentral:misc_RNA from 1 species